rnacentral:lncRNA from 1 species
UCCAAUCAAGUUGACACUCAGUAUUAACCAUCACACUUGCCAUGAGGUGUCCUUAUAUAUUUUAAAUAUUUGAUAAUGACCAAGGAAAGAAGAGUUAAGAAUGAUUCAUUUUAUCACCAUUUUUACUGGAAUAGCUAUAUUCUCCUGGUGCCAGACUCUGUUUUAAUGAUUUGAAAUACAAAUACACUUUUCAAAGCGAUAUUCAUUUUUCUCCCAUGCAUCUAUAAGCCUCUUUAAAAAGGGUGAAUGCUAUUAGGUGAAGUUGAUAAUAGCAAAAAUGAGUGGUGGAAAUUUAACCCUAUAUUUUAAAUGUAAAUCUUAAUUGGGUUCCAGCUGACACUGAGCCAUGUCUACCUACUUCUCCUUUUAUAUUAUCAUUUCAUUUCUAUUGGGUCCUUUGGCCAUGUCUUUAAAAAGUACUCCACUCACUCUCUUUUCCCUUCACAGUAAGCAAAGAAGUAAAUCCUCCAAUCAAAUAAACAACAGACAAACGGUUUUAAAUAAAGACAAACAAAAGGAUGUGGGAUUUACACCUGGCUUUUUGUAGCCAUGUGAUUCUACCACCUGCCUUUAGUUCCCUGCUUCCUCUCCUGCUGGACGCCAUUGCUAUUAUUUCCCUGCUUCACUGUCUGCCCUGUGUGUGCCCUUAUAUCUCUCAUUCCCCAUCCUCACUUCUCUGCUUCCAGUGAAGAAAAGGGAAAAUCUAAAAUCAGAUUUAACAUUGAGAGCCAGAUGACAGAGUAUUUUAUCGUAUAAUCCAAGCACUAAAAAAAAAAAUGGCACUAAUAAUU